UCGCUCUGCAAACGGAAAGAGAGAGAUGGAAACGGCUACAAAGAGGCAUCCAAAAGCUCAUGGGGAAGCACUGUGCUAAGGGGGUCGAGGCUGAUGCAAAAGGCUGGCUCUGUGUCAGUUGUAGGACAGCCAACUCUGGAUGGUUUCAAAACACAUCUCCUCUUGGGAGAGACGGCCUUCCCCCGGCCGUGUGUUACCUGCUGAGCAGAUCCUUCAGAAGUGUAUUGAGGAACUGUUACUUCCUUCCCAUUUCGGCAAACUAUGAAUCCUGUACGAAUUUAGAGAUUUGCAGACUGCUGCGUGCGUGGGCCAAGCGCUGUCACUGAGAGAAGUGCUGGGCAGGAGGGGCAGGAAGCGGCAGAGCCCCAGAUAAUGGACAGCUGGCAGCUCAGUCCUUAGAUCAGGGCCUGCUGAGGUGCCCCUAGCUCCGCGCACCUGAGGCAGGGAGGGCAAUCUGACCACCACAGAGCUGGAGCGGGGAGCUCUGUCAAGUGCUGAGGAUAAGUGGAGACAGAACUUGACUGCACUAAUGGAAGGAGCCUUCUGUGCAUGAAACUGAGGAGCAGGACCAAAGACCCGGGAGGGAAUUGUGAGUAGGCCUAGGAGGGCCCAAAGUGGGAGAAGCCUGUGGGAGAGAAAGGCACCCCAGCUGCAGUUGAUUGCAUGUGUUUGACUUGAUAUGUGCUGUGUAGGCUGCAAGCCAUGGGAAUAGCUGAAAGGGGGGAAAGGAGGGCCCUGAAGAUGCCCCACAGAGAGGCCUGGCUUAUUGCAGGGCUGGCAGGUAGGGUAGAGGCUUGGUGAGUAGCGGGCCAGGCUGUCCAAGCCCUGGAAGACGGGGCGGAGGGGUGGGAUCAGAGCAGGGGCAGGGGCAGCACAGAGUGCCCGGGACCACCCUCUGGUUCCCCGUAGGCAACUGCACAGUAGUAACAUCACAGGCAUGGCAGAAGAGGGGACCUAGGGAUACCAGAGUGCAAGGAACGGGAUUAGAGUGGCCACAAGGAGGCACCACUUCUGCCCUUAGCAGUGGAUCCUGUUAAAAAAUACUUAGCUUUUUUUGUGAAAAAACCCCAAACCUUUCAGUAUGUGAAAAUGUCUUGGUGAGAAUACAUUUAAUUAGGGUGACUGUAUAUCCUAUUUUAGCCAGAACAGUCCUGGAAUUUGAAGGCUGGUCCUGGCCAGCUGUUGGGAAUUAUAAUGAGCAUCCCGGAAAUGCAGGGGUGCAGGGCACAGUCUGGCUGGGUGGUGUGGAGAGCCUUGCAGGUGGGAGAGCCAGCUCUUGCAAUUUAAUUGCAGAUCUUUUGAUAUCUGACAUUUUUUUUUUUUUUUUUUUAAGUCCCAGCUCCUGAGGUCUUGUGUUCAGUAAGAUUCUCAACUCUUAUGUUUUUUGGGGUCUCUUUUUGUUAAAAGCAAACCCUCUGGAGAAAAACUUUCAGAUACAUACCUUAAAUGUUCAAAACCAGGAAAGCAAGUAAAACCCCCCAAAUAUUAUUUUUCUUAACCUCAUAAUUUCCUAGAUCAUGACUCGAGGUUUUCAAACACUUGAGGUUAGCAGUAUUAAUGUCUGAAAGAGUUGCUUCUUGUCAUGUUCAUAUCAAGUAGUGGCAUGUACAUGUAACUGUGUGGCCCUACUUUACAUUGAGAUCUGAUCCUUUUUGCCUCAUUUCAUUGCCUCAGCAUCAGAGAUUUGGCCACUGGCAGGGUUUUCCGAGUUACUGUGCCUUCUUUUCCUUUCUCAUGUAUAAAGUAUGACACAGCACUCAACACAUUUAAAAAAUAUUCUGACCAAAAUACUGGGGAGUAUACUAUAGAUGACAGUUGUUUGUGAGAUGUUGGGGAUGGAGCAGAUCAUUGAAUAAUCUUUCCCAGUUAAGAGCUUCUCAGCUAAACAUACUGCCUCCCCCCAUCAAAACCCAACAGAGCAGAGGUCUAGGCAGACGCAGAGUUCCAUAGGCCUUGCAUGCUCUCAGCGACAUCUUUCUAAAUUCUUCUAAAGUAUUUGUGAAAUAGUAGAGUAUUUGUGUCUCUGCAGCCAGAUUACGCAGUUAUCAGAUCAGACUGCUGCAGAGUGGGAUGUGAGUUUCGUUGGCCUCCUCUUGCAGUUACGAGCCACGUCUAUACGUAUUUCAUGUUACAAGUAUCCUAAACCAACACUGAUACUUCAUGCAAGGUAUAAGUGUCUCUCAGAAAAAUGUUUUACAGACUGUUUUAAAUGCAGGGCUCAGUGAUGGCUACCAUGGAGUCACCUGCGAUAAUGGCACUUUGCAAUCCCAUGCCUUCUGUCUCACCCCAGGAGCUUCCCUGGCUAAGCAAAAAUGUUGGGAGUGCUGAGACAGCUGGGUCUUCAUCCCCACCCAGUGAGAGGGAAGGAGGGACACAGGGUGGACAGGACCCUUGAAUGCUGUUAUGCAAGAGAGACCUAUCUACAGAGGAGACUGGUUUGCAUCAUGGAAAAGGUGCUGGUUGGUUCUGAUGUCGUCCUUCCAAUGCUCCAUCGGGAAUCCAGAGUCCUUCAGGAGAAACUGGAUAGAUGAGAUCUGAUAUUUCUUAUAAGGGACACGCAUAGAAACAGUCCUUUCCAGACUUUUUCUCUUGAAAAUUAGAACCGCCAAGAUUAGAAAGCCUAGAACUCCGAAUAUAGAGCCAAAGAGAAUUGCUUGGUGGUUAUCUGAAAAAGGGAAAAGGAAAACAAAUGAGAAUGUGAUAUUCUGCCUUCAGGGAGGGGAAAAAAGAAACCACUAGACUAUAGGAUUUCACCAAAAUCCCUUCUGCUAAAUGUCAGAACAGGUGGCUGAAGUCCAGUGCAAUGCAGUAAAAAUUAGUGAUAAUGUAUAAAUGAUAUGAACCUACAGAGUUGAUCUACAACUUCAAUGCUCACAGCUUCAACAAGAAGCUUAAAAACAUUUUUGAGAUUUUGUCGUAACCUUCCAAAAACAAAAACAAAAAAAGAAGAAGAAUUGCAUUUACAGAGAUCCAGGUCAGGAAAUUAAGCUUCAAGAGCCUAUGGCCAUUAAUGGAAGGAGUUUGCAUCCAUACAAAGACAAGUGUAUGGUAUAUAUGAGGGGAGCAAAUGCACACAAGGUAAAGACAAAUCUCUACAACAUUGUCUUCCAAAGUUACACCUCCUGGAGUGGCUAUAUGCUCAUGCCUGCUCUUGUAACACUCGCUAAGUUUUUUCUGGGAGUUGUUUCUUGCUCCCUUGCUGCAUGCUGCUGUGUGAAGAAAAGCUGCUGUGGCAGUGGUAAGGCCUUGCACUUAGAUUAUAAUUGGAAGCAUAUCAGAAUAAUUAUUAGCAGAGCAUUUCCAUGGGGACUUUAAUUAAAGAAAACAAUACUGAAAGAAACGCUGUUCAAGUCUAACAGUUUGAAACUUCAAAUACAAAUUGGGAUUUUGCAAAAUCAA